rnacentral:rRNA from 1 species
AGUACGAGAGGACCGGAGUGGACGCAUCACUGGUGUUCGGGUUGUCAUGCCAAUGGCACUGCCCGGUAGCUAAAUGCGGAAGAGAUAAGUGCUGAAAGCAUCUAAGCACGAAACUUGCCCCGAGAUGGUUAGGAUU